AUGACGGGGGAAGCUGGCUGCCUGGGGACAGAGAGGGACAAGUCACUGGAAAGCAGCUGGCCAGUCCCCCAGCUGUGGGGAUAUUAAACAAUAGAGAAAUCACUGUGCAGGCAGCCAGGGUGGUGCACAACAGCAUUGAUCCUGCCCUUAGAGGAAAGGAGCUUAUUUCUGCACCAGUGCAAGCUGCCCCAGGGCCUAUUACUCCUCCAGCUGGAGCUUAUAAGAGUAUUGCAGGGGGACCAGGGCUGCAGCUUUGAAGAAGAUACAGCUCUCCAGCUCACAAGGAACUGAGAAAGAGGCAGCUGUGCAGGCAGUCAAUGCAGAACUGGUAAAGGAUUGCAGGAUGGAAAAUGCUGAGAAUGAACUGUUCUACUGUUAAAAAAGUCACCUACUUAUUACAAAUGCACCUUUCCCGGGGAUCGCUGCCUUGUAAUUUUAAGCUGGAGGAUUCUAGGACAGUAAUGUAAUUACCCUGUUAAAUCCAUGCUGUUGUUCUGUGAUGUCCCAUGAAGAACUUCAAUUACAACAUGGAAAUUCACAAGUUCUCAAACUACUUGCUGAAAUUCACAAGCAGCAGACAAGCCAUCCAGCAGAGGGAACAUUUUAGCCAACCUUAUUCCCAGAAGUUUGCUGCAGGACAACAAAAGAUAACAAAACAAAGCCACAUUCUUUUUGAACUUCACUAAAAAUAAAAUUAUGAUCUAUCUCUUCUCCAAAUGGGAAGCUGGAAAAUUGGUAAGAAACAUCUGGUUGACAUCAAUGUGGCAUGAGAAUUAAAAAAAUAAAACUGGGAACUUCCCGGUGACUCCAAGUCUAUUCAGUGUUACACAUCUGGGAGCAAAUUUAAUAAGACUGAUUAAACAUUUCAUUAUUAGCAAACAGGUAAAAGUGCAGCUCACAAGAAAAUACCGGGUUACAGUUACCAGUGCCUUGUCCCUUUAAAAAUUGAAGGUCUGCAAAGUCACUUGAAAUACAGUUUCAGAAAAGCAUGAGAGAAAUUAAAUGACAAACCCCUGGGGAAAAUGUGUCAACCUAUCCCAGAAAACCACCAAUUUUAAAGAAAGAUUGUAAAAUAACAGACACAAGUGAGUUAGGUGGUAUUUUCCACACCUUGUCUCUCUAAUAUGCUGGGACCAGCACGGCUACACCACCACUGUAAAUAUUUAAAAGCAACAGGACAGAUUGGGAACUCCCCCAAAAGGAUAGAAUAACUGAGGCUAAGCAGUCUGAGUUAUCAAACUGAAAGUGCGAUUUGAAAGGGGUACACUGAGAUAACAGAAGCUGUGAUUAGGACAGUUUGCCUUGGACUGAGCCUCAGGAGCUAGCUGGAAGGAAAAAACUAACCAAGCCUGCCAAAACUGAGGAACAUCUCAAGGUCUUAUAACCGGGGAAAAGAUGCAACUGCACUUCACCUGCAGCUCUUAAGCCCAGCGCAAGAGCCAAAGGACACGUCAGGAUUUCCUAGUCUGAGCACUUGAUUUCAGAGAGAAAGUUCUGUUUGCCUCACGAGGAGCUGACUCUGACCUAAGAUAUAACCAUGUCCUUGCAACAAAACACAUUCCUCUGUUCAGUCGUGACAGGAUAUUCAGACUGUGAUGCAACCUUGUCUAAAAGAUAAUCAAGUUGCACAUGAGACCUUGUUUGAGAAGCUGCACACUGCUGUAGCUGAGGAAGCAGAGAAACACCACAAGUUGGGGAAUGGAGCGCAUGCUAUGGCAGCAGCUUGUAAUUCUGUGAAACUGCCAUAUACAGACAGAGCACAGGUCAGAAGGGGAAGCAGCACCUCCUCCUGAGUGAAAGGAAUCUCCAAAGGUGACUUGCUGAUGGAUGAGAUAAGGGAACUAAAGGCCAGUAUUGAUGAACUCAAAGGCGCAGGAGCUGAAAUCAGUAUAAGCAGCAAGCUGUCUGGGUGCACACAAAAGAGCUGAAUGGUACAAGCACACAUGCAGGCAGGCAACCCCAGAAAAGAGGAUUUGUUGGCUGCAGACCAUCUGGCAGAGGCGGUACUUGUGACCACCAUUUCAGAUGUGGCAGUACAGAACACUACCAGUCAGAUGUCAUGCAGGAAAAUCACAAGAGAGCAGAGGCAAAGCCGACACUAUCAGAUCUACCAGAAUGGCCUGUAUUUACCAUUAAACACCCAAGCUGCAACCCAGAGUACCCAAUUUAGGGUAUGUCCACACUACAAGUGCUACAGCAGCACAAGUUGCAGCACUCCAGCUACACCAAUGUAGUGUAGACACUUGCUAUAGCAACAAACGGGGUUUUUUCCCCAUCACUAAUAAAUCCAUCCUCUCGAGAGACAGCUACGUUGUUAGAAGAUGAUAUGGUAUGACGUAUGCAUUUCCCUACCUGGACAAUGUUCUUGUGGACAGUGGCACUUUUGAAGAACACACAGAGAACGUAAGGAGAGCAUUGCAACAGUCACAGAAUAAUUAAGAUGAAAGUUUCUAGAUAUGACCUUUAAAACAUUACUUGGGAAUGGUGGUAUCUGAUAAAGGUUACAAGACGGCUCCAACUGACACCUUGAUUCUGUGCUCUGGCAGAGAAAUCACGGAACACAAUAGGGGAACUCUGUAAACUGCUAGGCUUCAUCAUCUACUAUCGAAGCUACAUUCCAGACUUUUCUAGAAUAGCACAGCCACUGUAUGACUUGCUGAUUGUUUCACUGGAAUCUGACUCAUCACUGUCAAAAGUGGCUUGGAAAAAGAAGAAAGCUAAAGGGUAAGGAGAGGCAUUUGGACAGAUAUACUCCAAACAGCCACUUCUCUGGACUGAGCAUCAUCAAAACGUUUUAAAACACAAACGGCAGCCUAUCCUGAUUUUGCGUAACCCUUUAUCCUUCAUGCAGAUGCUUCCAAUAAGGAACUAAGUGCAGUCUUCUAUUAAAUGUCAAGAAAGUAAAUAGAGUAAUUGGUAUGAGUCAAGAACAUGUACUACAGCUAAGGAGAAUUAUCACUUUCGCUAAGGAAAGCUGGAGUUUCUACCUUUGAAGUGGGCUGUUACUGACCAAUUCCAUGAUUAUUUCUAUACACACAAAACCCAUAGUUUACAGCAACAGCAACCUGCUAACCUAUGCUUUCACUUCUGCCAGGCUGAAUGCCACAGCAUACAGGCUUCAGAAUUAGCUGACUAACUUCAAAGUUAAAUAUCAUCUAGGGAAAUCUAAUGUGAAGCCAGAUGAUUUAUCCAGAGUGCCCCUUGAUAUGGAAAAAUAUAUGACAGAAUGCACAAGAGAGACAAAAAAAGAUUUUAAUGCUGUCUUUCAGUCCUUGGAUGUACAAAAAGAUGACAUGGUAUCUUAGUCAGCAGCUGUUACUACCACCCCUUUGCCAGUAGAAACUCAUCUCCAUGGGUAUUAAAUCCACCAUAAAACCAUUUCCACAAGAUGACAUUUUGGAAGUUCUAAACAAAGAUGCAGCUGUUGCUAAAAUUCUUCAUUAUAAAUCCAUGAGGUAAAGACAAAAUAACCAAGAGAACACAGGAGGCUAUGGUAAUAUGCGUGUGAAUCACACCAUUGCAUCUGGAAACGGAAUACUUUACCGAAAAACCAAGUUACAAAAUCAAUUGGUAUUACCUGAAAAAUAAAUAAGAAAGGGAAUCAAGAGCUACAUGAAGAGAUGCAUCCGACGAAGUGGGUAUUCACCCACAAAAGCUCAUGCUCCAAAACGUCUGUUAGUCUAUAAGGUGCCACAGGACUCUUUGCUGCUUAUGAAGAGAUGGGACAUUUAAGACCAGAGAAAGUAAUCGGUCUUUCAAGAGAUUGGUUUAAUUGGCCACAGAUGAAGGCAAAGAUCAAACAUUAUGUUACUAGAGUCUGUACGAGUCAAGCAAAAGAAACCUCACCAGCCAACUAACAGUUACAAUAGAACCAUUUAAGUGUGAAAAUAAUGUAUUCAGAAAGUUGUAGCACUAUCGUUUCAAUUUUACAUCUCUCACAACCCCCUACCACCCAUAAGGUAAUGGGCAGGUAGAAAGACAGAACUGAACUCUUCGCUAUGUUGUGAACCUUGCUAGAAGAACAAAAGUCAAGCUGGAAAGUCUUCUUUAAAUAAGAUCAUCUAAGUCUCUAACUGUACACAAAAUGAAGCUACAGAGUUCUCCUCUCUAUGUAUUAUAUGGAAGAUCACCAUGUUUGCCCAUUGACAUUGCAUUUGGUUUACCUAUAAACUCAAUGUACACCUGGGCACCAUAAAGAUUAAGCUGAGAAAUGGAUACAGCAGAUGAAAGAAGCCUAUGAACUGGCAUCAAAGUGUUCUCAAAAAUCUGCUACUGGUGGUAAAUAUCACUAUGGUCAAAAAGCGCAUGGUGCUGCCCUCCUGCUGGUGACAAUGCUUGUGCAGAAUCUUUCAGAGAAGGUGACCAGGAAAAUUAAGAUCCUAUUGGGAAGAUAAGAUUCAUGUUUUAUUUGAAAAGAAAGGGAAUAGUCCAGUCUAUGAAUUAAAAAGCAAAAGAUGGGAAAGGAUGUUUUCAAGAGUUCUCCACUGCAAUCUUUUAGUUCCCUGUGACAGCUUGCUCUUGGAUGUAACACCUUCUAAACCACAACAAAGGAAGAAACAGAGACCAAGGCAAACUAGCGCAACAAGAGAUAAAGAUGAGAACAAGCAUUUGGACUUCAGUGAUUAUGAUAAUGAGAGUGAAGAUGAAUUACAUUAUGUGAUGGUACCAGAUUCUGUGAAUUCCAAGACAGAAGCAUUUCAUCCACAUCUGGGAAAUGAGGAUGUGGUUGACCCUAUGAAUUUGGAAACUGCAUUAGACUGAUGUGUUAUUCACACCAGCCACUGAAAAAUAUGAAUGGCAAAAUGAGACAAUGCAACCUGAAAUCAGCAGUGCACAAGAGGGCAGAUCACCAGAACAAUCCACUGACACACCAGGUCAUCCAACUAGAAAAAGAUGAGCCACACAGACCAAAAAUAUGAACAUUUAGGGACACCUACUUAUCAGUGCCUAAAUCAAACUACUGAACUAGUGAAUGCACCAUUUGGCUAUCCUCAUGUUUGUCAGAUGACAUACCGAAUGCCUAUUCUUGUACCUUAUCCUGCAGUCUAUCCAAGAUACAUGUAACACAAGUAAAGUGAUAUUGACUCAUGGUCUACUGCUCUAAAAUUAAAUGACACAUUUUAUAAUU